rnacentral:tRNA from 1 species
GGAGAGGUGGCCGAGAGGUCUAAGGCAACGGUUUGCUAAACCGUCGUAGUACUGAAAGGUGCUACCGUGGGUUCGAAUCCCACCCUCUCCG